CUUAAAUUGAAGAGUUUGAUCAUGGCUCAGAUUGAACGCUGGCGGCAGGCCUAACACAUGCAAGUCGAGCGGAAACGACACUAACAAUCCUUCGGGUGCGUUAAUGGGCGUCGAGCGGC
rnacentral:rRNA from 1 species